UUGAGAAUGCAGCCCAAAGUGGGUGGUAAACUCCAUCCAAGGCUAAAUACUUGCACGAGUCCGAUAGCGAACAAGUACCGUGAGGGAACGUUGAAAAGUACUCUGAAGAGAGAGUAAACAGUACGUGAAACGGCUCAGAGGUAAACGGGUGGAGUUGAACUGCGAACUCCGGGAAUUCAACUGGUGAGUGUGGUAUGAGCUUGGCAUGGUUGUUGACUCUGCGGGUCUGCUUAAUUGCGGGUCUCUGCCUUUUGUGGGGAUGCGUGAUACACUUGUCAAGUGGUGCGCGCUCGUAGAGUUUCUCGGACAUGCUUACCAGUGCACUUUUCCGGAGUGUUCACCACGACCGGCGCCGCUGCUUGUCUGAUAUGGUCAAACCGGUCUUGCAUUGUCUUCGUGGCUUUGCUUGAUUGGGAUGGCAGGUAACUCGUUGACUUGCGUGUUGAUUUCGGUCGGCAUGCGUUUGGUUUUCGAGCGUAAUCAGCUGUCCAUAUUGGUACUAUGCAGUGCGUCGGAGACGGCGGCUUGUGGUGUGUGCUUGCGUGCCAUUUUGCUGACGGAAUCGAGUUUGGUUAUUAUGUUGCCUGUUAUUCAGGCCUGGUGAUAGCUCGGUUUCGCUUUGUGAAAUGGUGCGUAUGUGACACUAUAUCAGGGCCAAUAGUCUGUGGUGUUGUGGUAGACUAUCCACCCGACCCGUCUUGAAACACGGACCAAGGAGAGUAACAUGUGCGCGAGUCAUUGGGCGUUACGAAACCCAAAGGCGAAGUGAAAGUAAAGACUCGGCUUGUUCGAGUUGUGGUGAGAUCCUGUCGUUUCUCAUGCGCGGUUUACCAAGCACUCGAGCGAUAGGCGCAUCACCGGCCCGUCCCAUGAUGUGGUCGCGGUCUCCGGAUCACGCGUCACCGGGGCGGAGCAUGAGCGUACAUGUUGAGACCCGAAAGAUGGUGAACUAUGCUUGCAUAGGUUGAAGCCAGAGGAAACUCUGGUGGAGGACCGUAGCGAUUCUGACGUGCAAAUCGAUCGUCAAAUGUGAGUAUAGGGGCGAAAGACUAAUCG
rnacentral:rRNA from 1 species